rnacentral:lncRNA from 1 species
GCCCGGGUGGGGUGGCUGCGGUCAUGUGUUCUUGCAGGGUUCAUGGCUCGCUGAGACAUUGGAUGGUCUGUGUGUGUCACUGUGAUCAGAUGUGGAUGUAACCCCACUGCGGUGGAGCCUGUCAGGGACACAGGAGCCAACAAAGCGAGAACCCGGCGGCCAGGGUAGGGACAGCUCGACCUGCAGGAGGGUCAGGCCACAUUGGAUCAUGACUUGAAGCAGAGCAUGGUGGUCCCUGGGUUCACACCACCAUAGUGAGCAGAUACAGAUGCG